rnacentral:rRNA from 1 species
CCUACGGGUGGCAGCAGUAGGGAAUAUUGCUCAAUGGGGGAAACCCUGUAGCAGCAACGCCGCGUGGAGGAUGAAGGUUUUCGGAUUGUAAACCCCCUUUGUUAGAGAAGAUAAUGACGGUAUCUAACGAAUAAGCACCGGCUAACUCCGUGCCAGCAGCCGCGGUAAUACGGAGGGUGCAAGCGUUCCUCGGAAUGACUGGGCGUAAAGAGCGCGUAGGCGGGAGAGCAAGUCAGAUGUGAAAGCCUAUGGCUUAACCAUAGAACUGCAUUUGAAACUGUUGAUCUAGAGUAUGGGAGAGGUAAGUGGAAUUCUUGGUGUAGGGGUAAAAUCCGUAGAGAUCAAGAGGAAUACUCAUUGCGAAGGCGACCUGCUAGAACGUAACUGACGCUGAUGCGCGAAAGCGUGGGGAGCAAACAGGAUUAGAUACCCGGGUAGUC